GGAUAAUUGGGAGUGGGCAGCUGGUUUCUCUUCAAGGUUUGGCCUUUACUUUGUUGAUUACAGGGAUAAGCUGAAGAGAUACCCCAAGGACUCGGUUCAAUGGUUCAAGAACUUCUUGGCUUCUUAGAAAUCUGAGAAUCUGAAAGAAGGCUAAUACUACAGUUUGAUGCUUUUGUUUUUGUUGUCAUUGGUUACAUCGUUGUAGGAGCUGUGAUUGUG
rnacentral:misc_RNA from 1 species